rnacentral:rRNA from 1 species
UACGGAGGGUGCGAGCGUUGUCCGGAAUCACUGGGCGUAAAGGGCGCGUAGGCGGCUUUUUAAGGGUGCGGUGAAAGCCCGGGGCUUAACCCCGGGUCGGCCGUGCCGACUGAAAAGCUGGAGCACUGUAGAGGCAGGUGGAAUUCCGGGUGUAGCGGUGAAAUGCGUAGAUAUCUGGAGGAACACCGGUGGCGAAGGCGGCAUCCUGGACCGACACUGACGCUGAGGCGCGAAAGCUAGGGUAGCAAACGGG